CAUGUACUACACGGAUUAUCAUCAACAGAUUCACAGACCCUAUCUGGCGAGAAGAGAGCGGACAUUUUGUUUUUUUUUUUGUCAAUGAUUUACCUGGCCAUGUCUUCUCAUCAACACAACCACGUGAUGCAAUCGCUUUGACGUAAACAACAAAGUCUGAGUCCCAAAUACCGCCAAGACUUGAGGGUAUUCAACCAUUGGUUGCUUUCCACUAUCAGGUACCACUCCAUCCCCCCCCCCCCCCCACACUACGAAAAGGUUGCUCGUCAGUCGCCACCUAAGUCAUUUUUAUAGAUCAGUGGUGCAGACCCAGACGACUUCUACGUCUGCCAGGCCAGACGUGUUUGUCUAGACACCCACAUCACGUGUCUUCCUUAGGUUAGCUUCAAAGCAUGACAGACGAGCUUCAGAGAUUCGCUCAAGUGUGAUUUUCUUGACCGGUCUUUACAGCCUCGGGGUCGGCGUGUGCGCAUCUUGACCGGGGAAUUUUGAAGAAAUGUUAAAGUGGAGUUCCACACUUUGACAUGAACACUUCAAGUCAUUUCCAAUGAGCUAAACAAUAAGGGAGGAUUGCAUAUCACGCUGUGUGGUUUAUCUCAGAGAUGCACCAUAAACUAUGAUGGUCAAGCUUCAUCAACAACCAUGUUAUCGGGGAACAUCGUAUUUCAGAAAGAAAAAAAAAGAGUCAUUUCCCUUUCAUGCGAAAUCCAUUAUCUUCUUGUUCCGUGCCUCUCACGUUCCUUACAAACUGGUCUCUGACUUUGGAGUAACAUGGCCAGCAGAAAGAGUGGGCGUCAGAGAACAUGAAUGAGAGGAGAGGGACGGAAGAGAGAGAGAGAGAGAAACAUCGGGGAGAAAAUGUCUGGAGCAUGACUCAGGCUUAUUGAUUGGUCAGAGAAUGUCGUGGGCUGGUCACCUGACCUCCUGUAUGGGGGGGAUUUUUUUUUCUUUUCCACCAAUCGUAUUCAGUCUUUAAGCCUGAGAUGUUCCCCGCCCUUACCCAUCAACAAAUAGGAGAAGGGGAACCAAAGUGAUGAGGGCGCCAUGUGGUCAUUGCCGAAUCCGCUCCUUGACAACACGCUGACUCAGGCUUUCAGGAUAGGGGCAUAAGGGGGAGCUGGAUGAAACCGGAAGUACCAGGAAUGGAAAUCUGUAGUCGCAGAACUAGUACUGCUCACCAAAGACUAUUGCAUUGCUCUAUAGUUUAUAUGUAGGGCUAUGUGUAUCUCAAAAAGUAUGUGGAAUUUGAUGUUGAAUACUGUUGUCGUGUUAGUUUAUGACUGUACAGUGUAUACGAAAGGUACUUAUUAGGUAUUAGUGCUCUAUUCGCCAUGUCGUUAGAUGAGACAGUAAAUGUAAUAGUCAUGUAUCUGUCUUUAGAGGUCACAUGUAGAUGAUACAUAGUAAGAUAGGUGGAUCUCAAUCUAUUAAUCUUAGCCGUAACCGUGGACAUUUUUAGAUGUACCAUGAUAGGAUUCUUAAAGCAUAUUGCAUAGAAGCCAGUUCGAAUGCUAGUAACUUAUAUCAAGCUUCCCACCCCAUACCACUUUUCGUUAUUAAUUGGGUGGCUGCCUGGUCGUGCGGUAUGCGCUCUGGACUGUCCUUCUCCUUCGGCCAUCAUACCCUGCCCACGUCUACCCUACGGGAGAUUCGUGCUAGGGUGUAUACGUUCUGGUGUAACAUGCAAACAUCGGAACUAGGUAAACUAGUUUACAAAUAUUUAGAUCUAUGUAUUCAUUUUAUAGUUUCUGAUUUUUUAAAUUUAUUUACAAUUUUUACCAAUAUUUUCAACGCCAUUAUUUGUAGUACCAUUAAUGACUAUUGACUUUGUGUCUACAUUUUCCUAUCUUCAUGGUACAUUCGAUAACAACAAAGCUUAACAAAAAGCACAUAAUCUGAGCAGUGAUUGUUGUGAUGGAUAGAUUACUUCCCUUAGCACUUCUCCUGCCAAUUCAUGUGAAAAACUGUCACCAAAAUCUGAAUGUGCUACUUCUAGUUUUCACACAUUUCAUUUUAGAAUCGUUAGGUCCAUUGGUUUGUGGAUAGUGUUACAACUGAAGUGUCACUCUUAUAUAUAGAAGAUAUAUCUUGAUAUUUUAGCAUUGCAUCAUUAGGGAUAUAGGUUGGUGUUCUAGUCAAUUGUGAACCAUCCUAAUCUUGCAUAAAAACUUAACACGGUAUGCGACACCGUGCAUACAUGUCAGUGCAAUCAGCUGAGUGCGGUCAUAUGACUUACAAAUGAUACUUGUAUCAUUGUUAGAUCAAUGCCGGACUUAUCGCAGACAGCAUCCAAUGUGAUAGACUGAGCUGUGUUGUAGUGGUCAAAUAGAAGGGCUGUGAAAGGCUGAGCUGUGUUGUAGUGGUCAAAUAGAAGGGCUGUGAUAGACUGAGCUGUGUUGUAGUGGUCAAAUAGAAGGUCUGUGAAAGACUGAGCUGUGUUAUAGUGGUCAAAUAGAAGGUCUGUGAAAGACUGAGCUGUGUUAUAGUGGUCAAAUAGAAGGGCUGUGAAAGACUGAGCUGUGUUAUAGUGGUCAAAUAGAAGGUCUGUGAAAGGCUGAGCUGUGUUGUAGUGGUCAAAUAGAAGGUCUGUGAAAGGCUGAGCUGUGUUGUAGUGGUCAAAUAGAAGGGCUGUGAAAGACUGAGCUGUGUUAUAGUGGUCAAAUAGAAGGGCUGUGAUCGUUAUAAAGAAGCAUCAUUUAUUUUUAGCAUUGAAUUUGUGAUGUGUCUUAGGCUUAUAUAGAAAUAACAAUAUCUACUGUUCUGUGACGGUUGUAUAUUAUCUGCAUAUCAUUAUUUACAAGCUUCUAACAUCAUAUGUAUACCUGGAACACUAAAUACUAGCUUAGAAGAUUAUAUGCAGUCUUGGAAGAUUAUAUGCAGGCCUGGAAGAUUAUAUACAAACCUGGAAGAUUAUAUACAGACAUGGAAGAUUUUAUGCAGGCCUGGGCAAUUAAAAAGAUGCCUGGAAGAUUUCAUGCAGGCUUGAAGAUUAUUUGAAGGCCUGGGCGAUUGUAUGCAGGCAUGGAAGAAUGUAUACAGGUCUAGAAGGUUUAUACAGACCAUGAAUAUUAUAUACAGGCCAAGAAGAUCGUAUACAGGCCUGGAGAAUUAUAUGCAAGCCUGGAAGAAUUAUACAGACAUUGAAUAUUAUAUACAUGCCUGGAGAAUUAUAUGCAAGCCUGGAAAAUCAUAUGCUGGACUAGAAGAUUGUAUUCAGGCCUUGAAUAGUGUCCUCAGGCCAGGAAGAUUGUAUACAGGCCUGGAAGAUUGUAUGCUGGACUAGAAGAUUAAAUACAGGCCUUGAAUAGUGUCCGCAGGCCUAGAAGAUUGUAACUUGUUUUCAACGUUUUACUAAAUGUAUUUAUUUGUGCAGAGGCGUAUCAUGUCUGCGUGACGUAAAAGAGAUAAGAAGAUGGGGGUCAAAUUGGUCCCAAAUGUUCAACUAUUGUCAGGAAAUUUCAAUUUCAAUUAAUACCAUUUAGAAGAUUUGUUUAAAGUGCCUAAAUGGUAUUUACAAAAUAAUUUAACCCCUCCCCCACCCCCAGGUUAAAUAAGAUUGCUACACCUCUGACCAAAUAUUACGUCAUUAAGAAGAAGUAAAGGGGAGGUAAGAGAGGGAACUCUGCGCUGCUAACACAGUGUCACCCAUGUCUGCCACACAGCUAAUCAGACCAAUCUGGACAUAAACCAGCCCGCGAGCGCGGUGGAGCUGAACGAACAGUUGUGGGCCACACAUUUUUUAUUGGUUGCUGUUGUUGUUGAUGUUAGCCUCGUGUGAUGCUGCACCGCCAACUGUGACAUAGAAGCAAAGGUUGUGGAAAAAAAUCAGCAGACGCCAACACUGGUUUGACCUUGACCAGUAGCGUAGAUUUCCUUUCUUGCUCAUCGUGUAACAAUCAUAUCCCCUCGUCUGCAAUCAUAUCCUAUGGACAACAUUCGUCAUGUGUACAGUUCUCAAUCAUGUGUACAGUGUACAGUUGUAUAUAUUUGUGCCUAAAAUCCUCUAGGUUUUUUAAAUCACUGUCUUAAGUUUAUUUAUUUUGAGUAUGGUUUUUAAAAACAAAAUUGUGUUUCCAGUUUUUAAGUU